GACGUAGGGGGCAAGCGUUGUCCGGAGUUACUGGGCGUAAAGGGCACGCAGGCGGUCUGCUGCGUUCAGCGUGACAGGCUCCGGCUUAACUGGAGCAGGGUGCUGAAAACGAGGAGACUGGAGGGCAAGCGAGGGACAUGGAACUCCGGGUGGAGCGGUGAAAUGCGUAGAGACCCGGAAGAACACCGAAGGCGAAGGCAGUGUCCUGGCUUGUCACUGACGCUCAGGUGCGAAAGCUAGGGGAG
rnacentral:rRNA from 1 species